AAAUGAAUAGACGGGGGCCCGCACAAGCAGCGGAGCAUGUGGUUUAAUUCGAAGCAACGCGAAGAACCUUACCAGGGCUUGACAUCCCUCUGGCGUACCUAGAGAUAGGUAUUUCUCUUUUGAGACAGAGGAGACAGGUGGUGCAUGGUUGUCGUCAGCUCGUGUCGUGAGAUGUUGGGUUAAGUCCCGCAACGAGCGCAACCCCUAUCAUUAGUUACCAGCACUAAGGGUGGGGACUCUAAUGAGACUGCCGUGGAUAACACGGAGGAAGGUGGGGACGACGUCAAAUCAUCAUGCCCCUUAUGUCCUGGGCUACACACGUGCUACAAUGGCCGGUACAGCGGGAAGCGAGGCGGCAACGCGGAGCAAAUCCCUAAAAGCCGGUCCCAGUUCGGAUUGUGGGCUGCAACUCGUCCACAUGAAGUCGGAGUUGCUAGUAAUCGCGAAUCAGCAUGUCGCGGUGAAUGCGUUCCCGGGCCUUGUACACACCGCCCGU
rnacentral:rRNA from 1 species